CGGAAGGGCGAGUAAUGCCUGGACAACCUGCCCCUUGCUGGGAAUAACACGGAGAAAUCCGUGCUAAUGCCGAAUGCGGCCGCCCGGGGCAUCCCGGGCGCGCCAAAGGCGGGGACCGCAAGGCCUGCCGCAGAGGGAGGGAUCCAGGUACCAUCAGCUGGUUGGCGGGGUAACGGCCCACCAAGGCGACGACGGUUAGCUGGUCUGAGAGGACGACCAGCCGCACUGGGACUGAGAUACUGCCCAGACUCCUACGGGAGGCUGCAGUCGAGGAUCAUUCGCAAUGGGCGCAAGCCUGACGAUGCGACGCUGCGUGGAGGAUUAGGAAGGGCUUCGGCUCGUAAACUCCUGUCAUGAGGGAAAAAGCUCCCCGCAGUCAACAACGGCGGGGGUCGAUGGUACUUCAAGAGGAAGCCACGGCUAACUCUGUGCCAGCCGCAGC
rnacentral:rRNA from 1 species